GUUUGUAUUUAGGCAUAUUAACACUUUUUUAAUCUAAGAUUUAAUAUGUUAAUGUAGAAAACAACUGAGGCUGUUUUCUCUCUAUAAAACUAACAUGCCUUUUCCAAUUAACUUAGUUUCCUUCUUAGCAAAAGUUUAACAUUUAUAUCUGUUGAGUUACACUGUAGUUGCAUAAUGUGGAAAUAUCUUAAGAUUUAGCCACUUCUAUGAAGAUCCUAUAUUUGUUAUAACACCCCUCUUGCCCAGAAGAAAAUACAUCAACAAAAAGUCCUACUAUAUGUUCUGCAUUGACUAUUACAAAGCAGUAGGGGGAGCAGCCAGAGAAAGCUCUGAGACAAAGCACCCAGCAAAGCAAUUUAAUUUAUAGGCAACAGAAACAUGCUAGAGAGGUUUGCCAAAAGCCAAAUACACAAAAUAAAUUCCAUAAAGAAGUCAUGACCACAUUUGUAAAGCUGGCCUAAGUAUAUUUGGAAUGAAGUAUAGAAAAAUCUGAAGUCUCUUAGAAAGGGUCUGGAUUCUAACUUCAAGACAGACUUUCAGCUUGAAACACAGUCAUUUCCAGCCAUGCCAAACCUCAAACUGCCCCCAAAAUUAGAGCAGAAACAAAAUACAUUUUUAUAGUGAUAUGUCUUGGGAAUAACUCAAAAUGAUUUCGUUUUCUCCUUUGAACCUCACUGAACUUACAGGGAAGGCCUGGUGAAAUGUGCAUUAUUAGGUCACAAGAGGAUAACGUUACAGGGUUCCAUAGCAUAAUCCUUGAAAGCCCUGAGGCCCAGGCCGCUGUCCUGCUCUCCUCUCUACUGACUCCCAUCCUCAAUAUACUUUCCAUGAGAGAAAGAAUGUGAAGUUGAUGGCUGGAGUCGGAGCAGCCAUAUUGGAUGAUUUGAUUGAAAAUGGCCCAUGGAGUACAACCACCUGGGAACAUAUCCUCGAGAAAGACAGUUGAGGCUUAUUGCCUAAACCACAGGCUACUGAAAACUUGGCCAAAGGCGACUACUCUAGACUGGUGACUUCAAAAGUGCUGAUGAAUACAGUGAACCAUGAAAGAUGCAUUAUUUGUUUUGAACAUUUUACUAUGAUUGAUGACCCAGAUUUGGCAAGUUAGUUCACUCCCAGUGGAGAUGAAAGUUUCACUGCCUUCUUUCUUUCAACAUUCUUGUUGAGACAGAUUUCACUUUUAUUGGCCAAUGUACUAACAAAUCACUUGCAUUUGCAGCAUAAUGAAUUCAUUAGCAACACUGUGGAUCAAUGCUAUACAUAAUAUUCCUGAGUCAACAUUAACUCUUAAUUAAACUUCCUUAUUAUAAUGCCUCUGGAAAUUUUCCUUCAGGCUACUAAACUUCAAGCCAACAGUCUAAGUGUUAAUCAGUAAUCAUGCUAGUAACUUUUUGAGAUGGGUCAGGGCCAGGGCCAGGGUCAGUGAUCCAUCAUGAAUGGCAGGUUUAAAAAUGGAUAUACGUGAUCAAAAAUACCCAUAAGUUGACCAAAGCAUUCUAACCUUUGGGUUAUUCUAACACUCAGUGUAUCAGCCUUCUGAGCAAGCCAAUUUUUUAUUGCCUUAAAAAGUCUAAAAGAAAGAUAAAAACAGAGAUAAUCAGUUUUGUUUGGCAAUGGCAGGGGUGUGGGAAAUGAAAAAGAAGAAAGUUAAAGAUGAGUGAAAAUAGGAUAGUCUUGGCACUUUGGUAUGAAAUUGAAGUACUUAUUUAAACUGAUGAAUAUUGUACAGAAAUAUACAGAGAGCAGUGAGGGGCUAAGAACCUAAUUCCAAGGUAACUACAAGGAAAAAAUUAUUGAUCUGGAUUGUGACCAGAAUUCAAGAGUUUGACUGUUGUCAUUGUUGCUGUUGUUAUUAAGUUAAAAAAAAUGAGAAAAAAAUAUACUUUUUUCUAGUAUACUUACCAGGAAAGGAAAGAGAGAAGGAGGGAGGGAAGGAGGGAGACAUGGAGGGGGCAGAGGGAGAGAGAGACAAAGACACUGACAAAGUCUGGAAAAAGACACAAAUUCAGAUUUAAGAUCCCAAAAUAUGCUACAUUUCUGCCCCCUUCAAAAUAUUAAACUUUGCUAAAAUACACUGGAAAUUUUUUUUAUUGUUUAUUUUUUAAAUCAACUAGCAGACCAAUUAGCCAAGAUGAUAUUUUCAUCCUUGGUACUCUUUCAGGUGAGCUCUGUGGGCUACCACCAGAAAGUCCUAGCCAACCAAGCUCUCACUGGGUCACUCUGUGCUAGCUAGACUACAUAGCCUCCUAAAAAAGCACGCAGCCCUGAUGCUGGUCCUGCCAAAGUGUGGUUUGCUGUCAUGUCCUACAGGCUACCCGUUUCCCAGUGAUUUAUCAUAAUAAACCAAAUGGGAAUGAAAUACCCAGAAAUAUGCCAUAAAUCUACUAGUGGUGAAUUUUCAAUAUUCUGCACACCAUGGUGAUUUGUUAAUUCAGUUGGAUCUCUAUUAAACCUCUCUAAAAUGUCAUUAAACCAUCUGUUUUGACUUGUUAAUCAAACAACUUUUAAAAAUGUAUUUAGAGUAUCAGUAACCCUUGAAUUAAUGCAUCCAUCAGUAAUAAUCCCCUCUCCAACUUUAGAUUUAUUUUUAAGCUCUAGCUUUUUUCCCCACCAUUCCAACAAAUAGCCUGACUUCCAAAAGUAAGAAUCAAUCACUUCAGUUGUAGAAAUGUCCAGAGGGUGCCCUACUUUCGAAACAGGAAGUAACUUGAUCCAGCAGUCCCACUUCUUGGUAUAUAUCCAAAAGAACUGAAAUCUGGAUCUUAAAGAGAUAUUUUCACUGCAGCAUAUUUGUAAUAGCUAAGAUACAGAGGCAACCUAAAUGUCCAUCAACAGAUGAAUGGACAAAGGA
rnacentral:lncRNA from 1 species